CCCAGCGUCCGUGCCGUGAGCCAGGCGGGGCUGCAGGUGGUGCAUUUCCCUGGCAGCGUUGGCCAGGGGUGCUGGGGAGGCUUUGGUGCUCAGCUUGGUCAUCGCACUGCUGCGCCUGUCAAAGCGGCGUGCUGAAUGCUCUCCGAGCAGCGAAGCGGCGUUUCAUCCACAUGCCGUACUCUUUCCUGGAACCUGAUGCCUUUGUGUCUCUGCGGCUGGGUUUGCCCUCCGAGCUCUCCUUGCAGUCGCUGUUUUGAAUUCCGCUGUAGGCGUGCGAGCAGAAGUGCUUUUCCCCCUUGCGUUCUGUCCCACGGUAUUUGCCCCACGGUUGGCAGAAGAAGGAGCUGAUGGAGUCAGCAAUAGAUUCUGUUGAUUUACUCUCUGGUGCUUCAUCCCUGGAGCUCACUGCUGCACAGAGGAGUGCGCGCGUGUUUAUCCCAGGGCUGCAGUAAACGGGAGCCUGGUUGGCACAGCAGUGAGCAGCAGCUCAGGGGCUCUGCAGAGGAUGGCUUUGCAGAAGGAGCAGGAGUGCCUGCGUCCACCUGGAUCCUCGGAUCCAUUCUGGCAGCGAUGCACCAGCUGUGGCCACAGUGACUGAAUGCGGGGCUUGGCUUGGGGCUGCCGUGGGGCACUUCGUACCCCGCCGUACGCCUGGCAAAGCACAGCCACCCCGCACCCACGGCAAGCGUUGGUCUUAGUGCCACGUUUCAUGCCAUCUUCUGAACCGCAGGCACUGGGGGCAGCUUCCCCACAAGAAAAGAGGGAGAAAAUGCGAGGUCGUCAUGGAAGCAAAAAGGCCAAAAUCCACUUGGGAAAGAAUUUUAUAAAGCAGUCUGGUGGUAGUUCUGUGUUUCUCCCGUUUCUUCCUUGACUUCCUUACAGGUGCAAUAGGUCGGUGCUGUAACACGCCCUUGAACUGAAAAAAGGACUCUAGUGUGGAUUUUCCAUAGGCCCUGCGCUGCAAGGUGCGCUGUUGGGAAGAAGCGUCCAUCUGCCCGAGGGCAGGAAGGCCCCCGGAGGGACGGACUGAGGCCAGUUGUACGAGGCUCAGCAGGAGCAAGCGCCGGGUCCUGCGCUUUGGUCACGGCGACCCCGUGCCGGCUUCUCCGGGAUUCGGCUGAGAUGGAAUUCCAACCGCCCAGUGACCGUAGAAUGUUGGGGUGCCGCGUUGGAAUAUUCCGGUCUUGUGACGUCGUGGUCUUGCCUCCCCACCCUGUCGUGGCGGAGCAGCCUGGUGGCCCUCAGUGAUGUCAUAAGCGCUGGAAUGAGGGGAGGAGCAGUGCGUGCUGCGUCCCUUCAUUGGAGCGCUUGAGCUCUGACUGAGUAGCUCGCUGUUGCACUUGUGCACCGACUGAGUACCUUCGUUUUCACACCGUCUUGUGCGGCGUCUUGUAGGUAAGCUGAGACAGCGUGGGAGAGACGGGCGGGCAGUGAGGGGUUGAGAACUGCUGGCUGGUGGAGCUCGUAGUGCCAUCCUGCUUGGUCUUGACCAUCAGACGUAAUUUUCACCCACUUUCGCUCGCGGAAGAACAGAGCAAAGUGACAAGGAACGGCUGCGGGUUCAAGGCACUCGUCUGCCUGCCUGCUUCUGAUCUCUUGCCAGUUCCAGCUUGUGGUGCCUGCUGUGAUGGGCAUCGCGUGCAGCGAGAUCAGCCGUGGGCCUGACGUGGCGCAGAUGGAGACUGAGACCAAGGGGAAGCCCCUGCUGGUCCGUGAGGAGUCCUCUCUCAAUACUCCAGCUGUUGCUGCUGCACACGUUAUUAAGAGAUACGUUGCCCAGGCACCGGACGAACUCUCCUUUGAGGUAAGCAGUUAAGGGCGUUCCUUGUUGUCACGUGCAGAAGAGCAUAAGGUACGAAGGUAUCGGGAACAUUCUCUGACACCUUCAGGAUGUUCGGUGAGGUGAAGCCCAGAAGAUGCAGUUCCAGGUCAGACUCGCACUGGGUUGGAUGCAGGGAGGGGUUCAGCCAUCUCUAAAAUACCGCUUUAUUUGGCAUUUGAAUCUUCUGAUCAAACAGACGCUGCCCAGUGUGGUAGCCUGGUCUCUGAGCAACAGCAGACCAGUGAAUGGAGUGUGUAGAUCUGUUCAGGAAGCCCCGCUGACUUAUGCCUGCGGAUUAAUUGGAGCUCUCCCUUU